AAGAGCACACACCUGGAGCCAGGCUGCUGAAGUGAGGCUCCGAGCCACUAACUAGCUGGAUGACCUUGCGGGGUCAUAGUGAGAACUAAAUGAGACAUGUGAGAAAAGCUCUCAGGACACUGCCUGCUGCACGGCAGGUGCUAUGUGUGGUGCUGUUAUCAGUCUCACGCUACCACACAGCCGCAGAGGCAACGUUGAGGGAGAAGCCCAUGAUCCAGACCUAGCAGUUUGCCCGGGACGUUUAAAACACUUGCAAGAGGAGACCAUUCCUGAAGUUGGCUGCAAACCCCCUGCUUCAUCUGUUACCAGGUUUAACCCCUCAAUAGCCGAAUCGCUGGAUGAAGUGUCAUCACUUACAACUGUAACAGAGUGGUCAAAGAGAGUGAUGUUUUCUUUAGUCUGAGCUGGGAUUGGAGGGAGAAAAGAGCUUUAAGAAAAACGAUUCCAGAGAUCAGCUAAAGGAAUUGGUGUCUUUGAGAAUCCUAUGCCUUGCUUCCAGGUAAAAUAAGGGUCCAGGGAGUCUUUAAGGAAGAAUCAAGAGAGAGGGAGCCUGAAGGAAUGUGGUGUCUGCUUCUCCAGCAAGGAUCCAAAGAACUAAAAUUGCUGUGUUUACAAAUUCCUAAAUAGCUGAGAGCAUCAUAAGACACUUGGGAUGGAAACUAUCCAGGCGAAUGUGGUAAUAAGCCAAUAAACAAGAAAUCUGAUUAUGACAAGAAGUAGAAACAAAAAAGAAGCAUAACCCACGGAGAAAGGGGAAAAAACCUAACACACACAGCGCUCUUUCUAGCCAUGUUUUACUUUGGUCUACUAUAUAUAGAAUCUGUUUCCGCCUCAAGGACAAUGGAUGAUUUUUAGCAGAGUCCACCAAUCACAGGCCUUCGGGAAUUUUGAAGUGAAAAGAGAGCCAUUCCGUACAAAACGCAGUUACAACCAUGUGAAAUAUCUUAUUGGCGGGUCUGGUUUUAUUGCACUGCACUAGUAGAGACAUACUUAAAUGGUCAAUCCUUGUGAAAUACAGAAAAAUGCAGCUGAUAAGGAAUUUAAGGCUGUUUCAUGAAUUUCACAUAACUCGGGACACAUUCUGCCCAGUGAUAUGCAUGACUAAGGGAAAAUCCUGUGGAAUGAGGGAAGGCUGAAUUGAAUAUUUCAUUAUUUUGCUAAUCCUUUUAUUCUUUUGGAGAACUAUUUGCAAACUGCUUUAUAAAUAUUUUUCUUAAAUGUUACUAUUACUAAUUAUCACUCAAUAUUAUCUUAGUAAAAAUAAUAGAGUCUCAGGCCGUUUUAGUUGGAAAGAUGGCAAAGAGCAGUAAGUACACUCACAGAGUUCACGUUUUGAGCAAAGAGAAGAGGUGGAGCUGAAGUCAGCUGCCUCUGAGUUUCUAACGAGUGCCAGUGAUGGACACUAGGGCCCUUUGGCAGCAACUCUCUGUUAUGUGAUCAUAAAAUCCACAGGUAAUUCAAGGUUAUCAGCUCCCUUCCCACCAAUACACCAUAGUCAACAUCAAGACCGCCAGAGUCAGGCAGGCCUGGGCUGGAAAGCUGCUCUGCUGUUUACUAGCCGUGUGACUAGAACGAGCUGGCUAACCUUUCCUCAUCCAUAAAAUGGAGACAGUAAUCUCCUAGGGUUGUCUUGAGUGUUAAAUGAGAUAAUCCAUCUAGAGCAGGGAUUAUGAAUCCUGGCACUACUGACAUUUUGGGCUGGCUAAUUUUGUGGUGGGCAGCUGUCCUAUGCACUAAAGGAUGUUUGUCAGCCCCUCUGGUCUUCAUCCUCUAAAUGCCAGUAUCACCUCCCCAUGCUCCCCUUCCCCAAAGUGUGACAAUGAAAAUAGUCUCCAGGCAUUGCCAGAUGUCCCCUGGGGGCAAAACCGCUCCCCUCCCCUAUACAAUGAUCUUAGUAAGGUACUUGGCACAUAGUCAGUGCUCAAAAUAUAUUAGCUAUUAUCGUUAUCAUCAUCAUUUUGUAUUGCCGUGAAGGAGCAGCAACGUGGCGCUCACACCGUCUCUUUGUUUCUUUCCUUGGCCUUUGUGAGAACGUGCAGACAAAUGGUCAAAUGCAAGGAUCACAAAAGGAUGAGCCACAGACUGUAUAAUCAGCUCUUGACAGUUUUGUUAAAUGUAGUGAUUUUCUUUUUUUUCUGCCACUAAGGAGAAGGUGACCCAACCCUUGGAUCCUUCCCCAUAUGUUCCAGAUUUUACCAGGCUCUGCAGAGGCCUGAGUGAAGAGAAUGUUGUCACUUUACCAAGCCUGCUGUGAGAAAAAAGGGAAAAAGAUACCAUGGUCAAAUGGCUCACAUGCUAUUAUACACUUUGCGCUCUGGUGAGCCAGGCCGUCUCUGACUGUAAUUUCCGUGUCUUUCUUCACCUCUCACCUUCCACCGUGGCGAUUACUUAACCCACUGACCCAGAUAACUGCUUAUUAACAUUUAAUACAUGCUGAAGUGUUAGUGGGCUUUGCACAAAACAUGAAGAAGUUUCUGACUUGCUUUUAGCUCUUUGCCCUUGAACCAUUACAUGAGUAAUUCUUUAAAGCUCUGCUCUGCCACUGCCAUAACUGUGGCAUGUAUUUUCUUUAAGAUAAAAAUGAACAAUUUAUGAAAAGAGUUUGCGCCCUUGUUGCAUGCAAGCUUUCAUUCAUUUAAUGAAUGUCGAUGAGCUCCUUUUAUGCUGGAUAUCCUAUGCUGGGAAGGCCUGGGUAAGUAGCCCUG
rnacentral:lncRNA from 1 species